AACGAACACUGGCGGCAGGCCUAACACAUGCAAGUCGAGCGAGGACUUCGGUUCUAGCGGCGGACGGGUGAGUAACGCGUGGGAAUAUGCCCUUCUCUACGGAAUAGCCCUGGGAAACUGGGAGUAAUACCGUAUACGCCCUAUUGGGGAAAGAUUUAUCGGAGAAGGAUCAGCCCGCGUUGGAUUAGGUAGUUGGUGGGGUAAUGGCCUACCAAGCCGACGAUCCAUAGCUGGUUUGAGAGGAUGAUCAGCCACACUGGGACUGAGACACGGCCCAGACUCCUACGGGAGGCAGCAGUGGGGAAUCUUAGACAAUGGGGGCAACCCUGAUCUAGCCAUGCCGCGUGAGUGAUGAAGGCCUUAGGGUUGUAAAGCUCUUUCAGCUGGGAAGAUAAUGACGGUACCAGCAGAAGAAGCCCCGGCUAACUCCGUG
rnacentral:rRNA from 1 species